GGACCUGUUGGACAUGGCUGCGGCGGGCGGCGGCUGCGGGUGCUGGGAGGCUGGCUGCAGAGUCUCAGGCGCGGGGACCACGGAGCGGGAGUGGCAGAGGACGGGGCGCCGCCUAGGGCGCAGUUUUUAUAACCCGGGUUAUCAUUUGGACUCACUGCUCCUGGAGGCCAUUUUCUCCAUUUUGUUGUUGCUGCCUGUGACAGAGAGAAGUUGAGGGAGAUGGGGAAGACAGAGAUGGAGAGAGAAAGAUAGACACCUGCAGACCUGCUUCACCACCACCACCUGUAAAGAGAUCCCUCUGCAGGUAGAGACAGAGGCAGAGGGAAAGAAAGAAAGAUGCCACUGCAUUGAAGCUUCCUUCACUUCUGUGGGGCCUGGGCUAUAACAUAGGUUGUGCACAUAACAGAGCAGGCCCACUAUCCAGGUGAACUAUAUUGCUAGCCCUGAGAUGAACAUUUUCAUCUGGUUUAUAUUCUACUUCUUCAAAUGUAUCACUUUCAAAAUUGGACUGAAAGCCUACAAACCUCAACUGCUUACCUCUGAACUUUCCUGCCCUUUGAGGAUAAAAUAGCAAACUAUAAGAGUAGAAGCUUCCUUCACCAUUGCCACUUCUUUACCUUGGAAAUGCAGGUCAGUGGGUGUCCUGUUCACUGCUUCCUGUCACUAGUGAUGCUGUCACUCAUACUAGCUGUUUCCCACCUCCUCUCUGCAGUGCUCUGCUUACCUCUAUUCCUGUCUGGUCAUGACUCCUCUCCUUAAUAAGAACUACACUCCUGGUAUUUCCUGAUGGUCCAAACUGAAUCACUCACACCCUCACUAGAAUGCUAGCUCCAAGAAUGCUUGGAAUUCUCUCUCUUUUGUUCACUAUCUUGGUAAACUGGAUACCUGGUA